CCCCUGAUGGCGGCCCUGUAGUUACACCACUGGGCACAAGCACUAUCUCCACAGCAGAGCAGCAGCAGCAGGGGGAGGAUUCAGCACGUUCCCAGACAAUACAAUCCCCACACACACAUAUACACGCACUGUUUGGGCAGUAAUAAGACUGCUGCAUCUCUCCAAUAGCUGCCGGAACACUCUGCACCGCCUACAUGUCUGUGUCUCUGCAGCACACAGGGCACCGCUUCCCCACCACCACCACCUACAGAAGCAGCAGCAGCAUCUUCCAGCUCGGAAGGCAGAGACAGAUGUGACCCCAGCCUCAGAAAGCUGCGUGACCAGUGUCUUUCAUGUGAUGCUAACAGAGCUGGAAUGCUUAUUUGUUCCUUCCUUAAAUCGUAAGAGUGAAGACUUAGAGGAGAAGACUUGGACGAUGCCAUCUGAGAUAUGUCUCAGUGUUCAAGAAAUGCUGACAGGACAAAGAAACUGCCAAU